GCGCGGUGAAGGUUAUACCAUCUUUCGGCUGAGUCUCUUGAUGCCAUCUUCAUAAGUGCUGAGCGUUU
rfam:Ancylostoma ceylanicum strain HY135 Acey_s0763_scaf, whole genome shotgun sequence.